CGGACGGGUGAGUAACACGUGGAUAACCUACCUAUAAGACUGGGAUAACUUCGGGAAACCGGAGCUAAUACCGGAUAAUAUAUUGAACCGCAUGGUUCAAUAGUGAAAGACGGUUUUGCUGUCACUUAUAGAUGGAUCCGCGCCGCAUUAGCUAGUUGGUAAGGUAACGGCUUACCAAGGCAGCGAUGCGUAGCCGACCUGAGAGGGUGAUCGGCCACACUGGAACUGAGACACGGUCCAGAUUCCUACGGGAGGCAGCAGUC
rnacentral:rRNA from 1 species